AUGAGAACUAGGUUGAUUCUGACCCUACUGUCGAAGAUUCCAGGGACUUAUCCUUCAACAGGAAUGGAAUCUCCGACUGAUGUUAUGAUGACCGGAACAACUUCUACUACAACUAAGUGGAUCUUCAUAUCGUGUAAAAGAACAGGACUUUCCUCAUUUCUCUUUCUGGAAUUUACCAUUCUGGCUUCUGGAUGGGGUGAAGAUCAAGUCACUAUCGAGAUGGCUAUCAGGUAUAGGAUUUCAUCCAGCCGGCACAAACCCGGAGACAUAGGAAGGUUUAACGACUUGCCCUUUUAA